rnacentral:rRNA from 1 species
AAAGCGUGCGCAGGCGGUUAUACAAGACAGGCGUGAAAUCCCCGGGCUUAACCUGGGAAUGGCGCCUGUGACUGUAUAGCUAGAGUGUGUCAGAGGGGGGUAGAAUUCCACGUGUAGCAGUGAAAUGCGUAGAUAUGUGGAGGAAUACCAAUGGCGAAGGCAGCCCCCUGGGAUAACACUGACGCUCAUGCACGAAAGCGUGGGGAGCAAACAGGAUUAGAUACCCUGGU